UGGGGUAUCGCCAAGCGGUAAGGCACCGGAUUUUGAUUCCGGCAUUCCCUGGUUCGAAUCCACGUACCCCAGCCA
rnacentral:tRNA from 1 species